GCGGGGGUGGCGGAGUGGUUAACGCGCAAGCCUGCUAAGCUUGUUCCCGCAAGGGAGCGCGAGUUCGAAUCUCGUCCCCCGCG
rnacentral:tRNA from 1 species